CCUACGGGAGGCAGCAGUAGGGAAUAUUGGUCAAUGGGCGAGAGCCUGAACCAGCCAAGUCGCGUGAGGGAGUACUGCCCUAUGGGUUGUAAACCUCUUUUGUCGGGGAGCAAAAGCCGGACGUGUCCGGCUGUGAGAGUACCCGAAGAAAAAGCAUCGGCGAACUCCGUGCCAGCAGCCGCGGUAAUACGGAGGAUGCGAGCGUUAGCCGGAUUUAUUGGGGUUAAAGGGUGCGCAGGCGGAUUUUUAAGUCAGCGGUCAAAUCGUGGGGCUCAACCCCAUCCAGCCGUUGAACCUGGGGAUCUAGAGUGUGCGAGAGGUAUGCGGAAUGCGUGGUGUAGCGGUGAAAUGCAUAGAUAUCACGCAGAACCCCGAUUGCGAAGGCAGCAUACCGGUGCACAACUGACGCUCAGGCACGAAAGCGUGGGUAUCGAACAGGAUUAGAUACCCUGGUAGUC
rnacentral:rRNA from 1 species